CCUCCAUUGGUCACUUUCCCACAGCUGAGGCACAAUACUUCACAUUCCCUACUCACCAGGGUUUGAGGACUUUCAGCCUGUAGUCUGUAGACUCAGAUGCAGAAAUGGCACGGGACAAGGGUCUGGCCGAAAAAGCUGCUUACCUCGUGGUGACCAUGAAACAGAGAGUGAAGGGAGGAGCUGAAGAGAGAAAUACAACCUUUCGGGCCACUCCCUGAGUGACCCACUGCUGCUGACCGCACCUCACCUCCCAUGGUGCUGAGGUCUCCAGUGGACGGCUCCACCCAGGAGGACAAUGCCCUAUGAUCUAAUCACCCCUAAAGCCCUCUUCUGAGAGCACGAGAAUUCGGCAGGACAUUCCAGUUCCAAAGCACGACGUUCAUUCUGGGGGUAUGAUCUACCGGCACCACGUGAGCUAGAACCACUUUUCUGAAUUUGAAACUUUUUAAAAUAACCACCAACGAUAAUGUGGAAAUGACUCGCUUUCCAGCCUGUGGAUCCAAGACUCUGUAUCACCAACAUGUCGGCAUCUUUCUGAUCAUCCAGGAAGGAGAUUACAUUCCUACUUACAUUUUUCAUGCUAUGUCAGGAUGAGUAUUGCAAUAGCAUCACAGAUUUAUAUGGACAACAGGCUUUGGAAGGAGGCGUUUCAGAGUAAACGGUGCUACUGGAUAAUACUGUUGAGUAAGAAUCAACCAAUGAGACCACUUCAAAUAAAAAUGCUCUAUAGAGCAAAGACAGCAGCACGGUGAAGAGAUAACCUACUGAAGAGGAGCGAAUCCUUGCUGACUGCUCUUCCCAAGGGGACUAGUAUCUGCGCUAUAUGAAAUACUUAAAAACUAACCCAAUAAACACAACAAAAUUAUUCUAAUUUACUCCCUGUCAAAGAAUAGCACCU
rnacentral:lncRNA from 1 species